CCUACUCCCUCUCUCUCUUCAUCUACUCUUCCUACUCCCUCUCUCUCUUCAUCUACUCUUCCUACUCCCUCUCUCUCUUCAUCUACUCUUCCUACUCCCUCUCCCUCUUCACAUCCUAUGACUCCCUCUCUCUCUUCCCCUCCUCUUCCCUCCCACUCUUUCUGUUCUCCUGCUCUUCCCUCCCAUUCUUCCUCCGCACCUCCUUUCCCCAGUCCCUUGCUCUCUUUACCUCCUUCACCAACCCUCUCUCUAUGUUACCCACUUUCUACUUCUUCCCAUAUCUCUUCUCCUCAAGGUCUUCCCAAAAAUCAUUCCCCGGGAAAAAGAAAAAGAAUUUAAGGCUGCAAUUUCCUGUUUAAAAAGAGGGAUGUUCAAAGCAGUGUAAAAGAAUGGGAGGAUACCUGGAAGUCUGCUGUUAAUAUUUCUGUGCCUAGCUGCCUGGUUAUUGUUUAAAGAGUUCCCAAUUCUAUAUUUGUUAUUGAUAUACACUGUAACAUGUUAUGAGCUUAUUGUGAUACUGUUACGGCCACAAUCUUUUUCUCAGUUCAAGUUUUGUUUGUUAUCCACUUACAUUUACAUUUAGUCAUUUAGUCACUUCCUGGGUUCUAGGCAUCGAUUUAUGGUUGCCUCCAUAAAACUUAACUUAUAACACGGGUGAGUUGGUGACCAAGCUAACGUUUUCGGGUUUUUGUUUUAGAUUCACUGUUAGGUAAGGGAGCGCGCUGGCUCCGCCUUCCCAUUGCGGGGAGGACCAGCGGCUGUUUUUCUGUU